CGGCGGCGCCGUCGCGCGUCCCCUCAGGGGCGGCUGAGGGGGAGCCGCAGCAGCGCUCGGGGCUCUGCGGCGCUGCGGCCGCGCCGGUGCCUCCUCGGCUGCCGGUUCGCUCCUCGCCCGCAGAAGAAGGAGCUGUGAAGAGGAAGGACGUAGCUCUGCCCCGGCAGAGGCGCUUCGGAGGGUGUCGCUUGCGAAAGCUGUCAGCGCUUCCUGUGGCGCGCGCCGGCGAGAGGAGGAAGGUUGCGGUGCGAUGGGGCCCCCGGCGGAACAGCCUCAGGCUCGCUCCUGUGGGAGGAAUGAUCUUGCCACAUCAGAGCUGCAGAAAGGUCAAGCCGGAGUUGCUUUCUCGCUGAUGCUGCAAGUUGAAGAAGUGUGGAGGAAGCUGAUAAUGCUCUUUCAGUUCCUGAGGACUUCAAGCUCAGUUACAGGACAUUAGCAAACACCAACAAUCAGCUCACAAACAGCUGGCUGAGAAGUUGAAGACAAACAUCUACAGAACCAUUGAAGCAUAAAAUUGUGUAGGAACACCAGCACCAGAGAUCCCUUCCCCUGACACAAGAUUUGUUAACUGAAGCCAAUAGGCACCCAGCUGCAGAGAGAAGAUGAUCUUCAUCACCCUUAAGCACCAGGAAAGGAAUUUCCAGAUGGAAUUAGCAAAGCCUCCACCCCUACAGUCCAAGCAGUUGCUGAGUAUCAUUAAUCAUUCCAUCAAAUGGAGCAUUCACCACCCUCCUGCAAUUCUGCUGUCCUUCAGAAAACUCAAGUUGGCUCCAGAGCUCACAGGAAAAACGCUGAAGCAGUUUUAAACCAGUUGUACCUUCAGGAACAGCCGGGUCAAAGAGACUGUCACCUCCAACACCUGCAAGGUCACCACCCAGCAGGGACAGGUGAGGCACUCACACAGCCACUGUCACACUGCCACCGAGCAGGCUGAACAUUUUCCUGUUCAGGGACAGGUGAGGCACUCACACUGCCACUGUCACACUGCCACCGAGCAGGCUGAACAUUUUCCUGCUCACACAGAGCCUUUACACCUGGAAUUUUUACAGAAGAAUGAGCAGGUGCAGAUGUGAUCAGUGCUGGAGGAGCUGGGCAGGUUGAGCUGCUGUCCCAGACAUGGGAGCAGGGAAAACAGCAGCUGGAGAAGCUGCUCCAGCCGGGGAGGGAGCGAGGAAUGAGCCAUCGCUUUGUUGUCAGCUGCUGGUAAUUAGGGUGUCCCUACCUUGCAAUCUGGAUGCUCCAACAUAGUUGUGGUUUCCUCUGGACCCACCCCGGCCCAGCCACACGUUUGUCUUCCCAAGAAAAAAAUGCAGCUCGACCUGUAGCAGGGGUGUUUGUGCCUCCCAGUCCCUGCACUGGUUACUCCAGCACCUGCACACCCCAAAGGUGGAACGAGACAGGGACGGGAGAGGCAACUGCUGACAGCACCGGCUCUGCCACAAACAGGUGCCACAGGCUGCCCGGGGAGGAGGAUUUGUCCCACAUAAACCUAUUUUCAAGCUGCUAAAACACAGCCACAUGUCCUGUGGGAGUUCUCAGGCACUCAGAAUCAGCUCGUUUCUCAUCUCUUUUCUCCCCAGUCUCCCUCUCUCUUUACCUCUGAAACGUCCAAUCUGGUCCGUAACAGCUCAGAGGGAGCGCUUUAAAUAUAAAUAGGUAAACUAAAAGUCAGAACCCAAGAGCUGCCAGACAACGUGAUCCGGGAGGCUGAGUAGGAGUCCCUCAGUGCCCUGCCGGCUGCGCGGCUCCGGGCGAUCCUCCCCCGCCUGGCUGCUUCCCGCAGGGCUGGGGAAACAGCAGCCAGCCAAUUCCUACGGAGAGAAAGGCACCAGGGACACAAAACGCGUGAAACGCCCCAAAUCAGCGCAAUUGAAAUGCAAGGAACAUCCCUUGGGGUUGGGAUUGCUCUCUGGCCAGAGCCUGGGGAUGGGCCAGCAGAGCAGCCCGCAGUUCCUGCUGCUCCCCUGUACUCCUAGUGACAAGGCAGCUGUGGGAUGCAGCCACAGAAGCCACCCAGUCAAACCCCCAGGGGACAGACUGGGCUCAGCAGGAUCAGUUCUGCCUUCCAGUUACUUUAAGGGGUUUUUCAGGUUCCCAGACACCGUCAGAGAGGUCAAUGGAAAUUAAUCAGUACAGCAUCCUCACCUGAACAAAAGCAGAGAAUCCAGACUGUCUCCAUGGUUUCCCAGAACCACAAAGUCCUGCAAUACUUGCAGUGUCAUAGCAACAAGCUCCAGCCCAGCUAAAUGCAAAUUCUCUUCUUUUAGACCAUGGGAUCUUAUUCACGAUGAUCCUGGAGAUCCCUAAGAGUUGGGCAUCAACACCAAGACUGGAUUAAGGCUCUGCAAGUACCAGACCUACCUUCAGUACAUCAUUCCUCUUGUAUCACCCCAGUCACGGAAGAGCAGCUUUUGGAGGAAGCAGCAGCUGCUCCUUUCCUUGCUGGGCCAGAAACUCCUCUUCCAGGGACUUGGCAGGGCUGGAUCAACCAUUGGGCUUGAUGAUCCCAAAGUUUUUUUCCAGCCUGAAUGGUUCUGGGAUUCUGAAUGACUCUGGCUGGGCUUUGGAGUUGGCCACAUGAUUCAUAGUUCAAUCCAGGCUUUAAGGAAACAUCAGAAAUAUCAAUAAUUUGUCCCAGAAAUCUUUCAGUCUGACCAGCAAAACCCCAAAAGAUCCUUGACUCCCACAUGCUGGAAUGGGACAGCUGGGUGGGGGCUCAGUAAUUGCCUUCACCUCUGAACCCAAGCAAGAAAAACUCCCCUAGACCCUUUUGGGGGACCAUUCUCAGAAUCAGGACAACAGAUUUCCUUUUUAAAUGUGGGUCCCAUCCCCAAACCUGGGCAGGGGCCGGGGAUUCCUGGCUGUGCUGGCCCUGCCCUGGAGAGGCUGUUGUGUCUCACCCUCGCAGGGCAGCAGAGCAGACACUCGUGUGGGGCAGACCUGGAUCUUGAGGAUUUUUCCCUGGAUAACAGAAUAGUGCCUCCAGCUAAAGGUAAACCCGAUGUCAGAGUGCCUGUGGCUGCUUUGGGAAAACACUGUCUGCCCUCAAAGUGUCACACUGGUUUAAGAGGGAACUGAGCAAGAUUAAAGGCUGCUCAGGACUUGGAUUAUCCCACAAUUUUUCCAGUAGGACUUGAGGUGACUUAGAAGUGACAGGAAAGCUCUCAAGGAAAACUGAGCUCUGCCAGAAAUAACCUCAGUUUCCUGAUCAGGUGAUGUGGGCAAGGAGGAAAGAUUUCACCUUCAGGGGUUCCUGCUCCAAAUAGGAUCAGAAAAUCUUUGGAAUAAACUACAGGAUGCAAUGUUACAGGGAUUGCCUUUCCUGCUGCUGCAUUUUAGAAGAUGGCAGAGGCAGCUGGACUUGCUCUCCCCAAAAAUCAGCAGAACAGCCUCAUUCAUACCUCAGUUUUCCCUUCACCUGGGCAGAACUUUCAGGGUUGUUGUUGUUAAUUCUUCCUUUACACCAGCAAACAGAAUUGCUUUGGAGUCUAGUGUUGUUGGCUUUUUCUUGGCAGUGUAGAUCCAGCACUCCCCAGUUGUCAUUUCCCUGAGGAAGAAUUGAGAAAGCUGCAGGAGCACACACAGGGGUAUCCAUUUCCAUCAUGGAAUUCAGGCUACAGGAGCAGAGCUGGCACUGCCACAGCCCCAGGGACUCUGGGGUCACCCUCGUGAGCCUGGCCUGGGCUCUCAGAGCCAGGGGAGUGUUCCAGGGCGUUUUGCCUUUAAAAAUGGAAAUCUCAGCCCCGUGAGACGAAGGGAGGCCUCUGCACAGCUGGGGAGCUGCAGGUCACACAAACCUGAUGGUUUAAAAAUAAAACCCCCCAGAAAUGCUGACUUUUAACCCACUCUGUGCUCAGGCAGCCACACGAGGUGCUGCCAGUGCACACUUGCAGGAGAGAAUUUGUGUCCCCUUGUUUUUUAGGGGGAAAAAAACCCAAGCAGCAGGGAAGGAUCUGGGAAGGAUCCGCAUCUUCCAAGUAGCACAGGCUCCCCCCUCCCAUUGUCCACAUUGCAGAGGUAUCAACACAAGCCCCAUCCAUAAGGAUUUACCCCAAAGGCAGGGAUUUCACCUUCUCCUGGCAAGGACAGGCACUGCGGGAGGGAAGUUGUAACCAAUUCACUGCAGAUACUCCAGGCUGCGGGAACACUCUAUU